AUGCCAUGGUGAGGAAAAAUCCUUAACAGCUCUUUAACCCUCUCCCAUGCAUCAGGAACAACUUCGUCGUCCAUUUGUUUAAGAAGACAAAUUUCAUUUAUGGACUU